rnacentral:rRNA from 1 species
AUUGAACGCUGGCGGCAGGCCUAACACAUGCAAGUCGAACGAGUGGCGGACGGGUGAGUAAUGUCUGGGAAACUGCCCGAUGGAGGGGGAUAACUACUGGAAACGGUAGCUAAUACCGCAUACCAUCGGAUGUGCCCAGAUGGGAUUAUCUAGUAGGUUGGGUAACGGCUCACCUGGGCGACGAUCCCUAGCUGGUCUGAGAGGAUGACCAGCCACACUGGAACUGGGACACGGUCCAGACUCCUACGGGAGGCAGCAGUGGGGAAUAUUGCACAAUGGGCGCAAGCCUGAUGCAGCCAUGCCGCGUGUAGGAAGAAGGCCGUCGGGUUGGAAAGUACUUUCAGCGAGGAGGCGUUACCCGCAGAAGAAGCACCGGCUAACUCCGUGCCAGCAGCCGCGGUAAUAC